AAAAAAUUGAACAAAAUGAACAAUAUGGAGGAGGAAAAAAUCCCAUAUAAUAGAACUUCCGACUUUUCUAUGAAUGAUAAAAGAGAGAUGGAUGAUAAUAACAGUAGUGAUAGUGGCACGGGUAGUGAUAACGUUAGUGGCAAUGACAGCAGUAUGGAUAACGAAGAAAAAGGUAUGAGCAGUAACGAAGAUAUUGAAACUAGCUCUUAUUUAAAUUUAACAAGUACUAAGAUAAAAAAAAGUGCCGAAAAAAAUUACGUUUUAAAUAAUAAAGGUAGUAAUAAAAAAAAUGUUACUAAUAAAGAUAAUGCCAGUAGCAAUGGUGAUAGUGAUGAAGACGAUGUGAGUUUAGAUAAUAUUAAUGAUAGUUUAUUAGAGUCCAUAGAUUUGAGUGUAGUUGAUUCUAAAUUUGAUGCAAAGGAUGAUUAUUUAUCUGAUAAUUUUCCAAAAAAUAACCCCUCAAAUUUUAGUAAUUUUAGUAAUUAUAGUAAUUUAUCGAAAGAAAAUAUAAAUAGCAAUUAUUUAAAUAAAUUUUUAAAUAAAAAUGGUGUAAGUUUUAUGAAUAAAAAUAAAGACAUCCAUCUAACUGAUAUAAACAGCAGUAACAAUCUUGCUAGUUCUGUUCAUAAUUUAAAUUUAAAAAAAAAAUUUUAUAACAAAAAGGAAACAGAAAGAGAUUUAUUUUUAGAACAAAUGAAAAUGAUAAACACAAAUGAAGAUAACAAUAACAGUAGUAUAAAUAAUCCAAAAAAAAAUAUUUAUACAACAGAUACAAUUAGCUGUAGCAAUGUGAAUAAUAAUAAUAUUAUGAAUGACAUUUAUGAAAAACAUGUGAUAGAAACUGAUUUAAAUGAUCCAGCUGAUUUUGAAAAUAUGGUAAGUGAUUUAAGAAUAACUUUUAUAAACUGGCUUAAAAAAACACAAAUGAAUUUUAUACGUGAAAAAGAUAAAAUAUUUAAAGAUAAAAAAGAGUUAGAAUUGGAACGAAUACGAUUAUAUAGUGAAAUUGAAAAUAAAAAAAUAAUGGAAGAACAAAAAAAUAAAAGAAGAAAGAAAAAAAUUAGACGUAGAUAUAUCUAACGGAUAUAAACAAAUAAAAAAAGAAAAAGAAGAACA
rnacentral:lncRNA from 1 species